rnacentral:rRNA from 1 species
GAUGAACGCUGGCGGCGUGCCUAAUACAUGCAAGUCGAGCGAACAGACGAGGAGCUUGCUCCUCUGACGUUAGCGGCGGACGGGUGAGUAACGCGUGGAUAACCUACCUAUAAGACUGGGAUAACUUCGGGAAACCGGAGCUAAUACCGGAUAAUAUAUUGAACCGCAUGGUUCAAUAGUGAAAGACGGUUUUGCUGUCACUUAUAGAUGGAUCCGCGCCGCAUUAGCUAGUUGGUAAGGUAACGGCUUACCAAGGCAACGAUGCGUAGCCGACCUGAGAGGGUGAUCGGCCACACGGGAACUUGGACACGGUCCAGACUCCUACGGGAGGCAGCAGUAGGGAAUCUUCCGCAAUGGGCGAAAGCCUGACGGAGCAACGCCGCGUGAGUGAUGAAGGUCUUCGGAUCGUAAAACUCUGUUAUUAGGGAAGAACAAAUGUGUAAGUAACUAUGCACGUCUUGACGGUACCUAAUCAGAAAGCCACGGCUAACUACGUG